UACGGGGGGUGCGAGCGUUGUCCGGAAUCACUGGGCGUAAAGGGCGCGUAGGUGGCGUCGUAAGUCUGUGGUGAAAGCCCGGAGCUCAACUCCGGGUCUGCCGCGGAUACUGCGAGGCUUGAGUGCUGUAGAGGGGGGUAGAAUGCCGGGUGUAGCGGUGGAAUGCGUAGAGAUCCGGAAGAACACCGGUGGCGAAGGCGGCCUGCUGGGCAGUAGCUGACGCUGAGGCGCGACAGCGUGGGGAGCAAACAGG
rnacentral:rRNA from 1 species